rnacentral:rRNA from 1 species
GACGAACGCUGGCGGCGUGCUUAACACAUGCAAGUCGAACGGAAAGGCCCUGCUUUUGUGGGGUGCUCGAGUGGCGAACGGGUGAGUAACACGUGAGUAACCUGCCCUUGACUUUGGGAUAACUUCAGGAAACUGGGGCUAAUACCGGAUAGGAGCUCCUGCUGCAUGGUGGGGGUUGGAAAGUUUCGGCGGUUGGGGAUGGACUCGCGGCUUAUCAGCUUGUUGGUGGGGUAGUGGCUUACCAAGGCUUUGACGGGUAGCCGGCCUGAGAGGGUGACCGGCCACAUUGGGACUGGGAUACGGCCCAGACUCCUACGGGAGGCAGCAGUGGGGAAUAUUGCAAAAUGGGCGGAAGCCUGAUGCAGCAACGCCGCGUGCGGGAUGACGGCCUUCGGGUUGUAAACCGCUUUCGCCUGUGACGAAGCGUGAGUGACGGGAAUGGGUAAAGAAGCACCGGCUAACUACG